AGUGAACGCUGGCGGCGUGCUUAAUACAUGCAAGUCGAACGAUGAAGUCCUAGCUUGCUAGGGGGGGUUAGUGUCGCACGGGUGUGUAAUAUAUAUUUAAUCUGCCUUGCACUGAGGAACAACAGUUGGAAACGAUUGCUAAUACCUCAUACUCCAACUUUACAUACGUUAAGUUGGGCAAAUCUUUUCGGUGCAAGAUGAGACUAUAGCGUAUCAGCUAGUUGGUAAGGUAAUGGCUUUCCAAGGCUAUGCCUCGGAACUGGGUUGGGAGGAUGGUCAGGCCAAUGUGAAACUGGGACACGGUCCAAACUCUAACGGAGGGCGGAGGAAGGGAAAAUGGGAAAAGGGGGAAACCCUGAAGCAGCAACGGCGCGUGGAGGAUGACACUUUUCGGAGAGGAAACGCCUUUUGUUAGGGAAGAAUAAUGACGGUACCUAACGAAUAAGCACCGGCUAACUACGUG
rnacentral:rRNA from 1 species